UCGAGGGGCAGCAUGGUCUUAGCUUGCUAAGGCUGAUGGCGACCGGCGCACGGGUGAGUAACACGUAUCCAACCUCCCGCUUACUCAGGAAUAGCCUUUCGAAAGAAAGAUUAAUACCCGAUGGCAUAAUUCUUCCGCAUGGUAGAAUUAUUAAAGAAUUUCGGUCAUCGAUGGGGAUGCGUUCCAUUAGGUUGUUGGCGGGGUAACGGCCCACCAAGCCUUCGAUGGAUAGGGGUUCUGAGAGGAAGGUCCCCACAUUGGAACUGAGACACGGUCCAAACUCC
rnacentral:rRNA from 1 species